CUAAGAGAGCAUUCAAGGCCCAGUGGUGGAAGAGUUGCCUGCUGUUUUACUGGUUCUGCUCCUGUACCUUUCCUAACAGCCUGAGGAUGAAACAGCAAAGAGUUUCCCACUUUAAAUUUCUGAUAACUAUCUGCAUGCCAAGCUGUUUUAAAGGCACAUGAACCAGGCAAGGCAGGGGGUGGAAAGUUGGCAACCGUACAUAGUGCCACCUUUUUUAUCCAAAUUGCCAGAGGGUAACGGAGUGGGAUCUAAAAUAUUGGCGCACUCAGAAAUUGGAUAAAGAAAUAAAGUGUUGCUCACAGAGACAUCAAAGUACAUGCCAGAACAUUUGGAUAAACAGAGUUGUUGUGUAUGAGAGGGGGGGGGAGGGAGGUGUUCUUCUACUUAGCAGUGUUUACCAAGCAAAAUGCAUCCCACCAGCCAUUACUGGUGCUUCUAAAAAUAUUAUGUUAGUGCUUGAAAUUUACUAAGUGCUGUUCACAGAUUAAAAACAAGAAAAUUUCUGCCUGCAAACCUACAAUCUGAAAAGCAUUACAUAAAAAGAAAAGAAAACAUAUUGAAGAGGGAAGCAGAAAAACGCAUGAGCCAGUCUUACAAACACAGAGUUCCUAGCAGCCUGCUUUCCUCUCCAAUGAUUUUGCACCAGCAACAGAAGGAAGAGGUUUGUGAAACUCUUGAUAAGGAUGACAUGUUUGAUUGAUGGGUUGCUGUCAGCCCGGCAGGUCACAAGUUAGGCAGGGCCUUCUUCCUAAAGACAGAGGCACUGGGGCUCAGGCUGGCCUGCAAGUUGCAACCUCAAACUGAGAAACCCUUCCCUCCUAAUCCCAGAUGCCUGGAACUUGACGCUGAGUGCAGGGUUCUGCAGCAAAGGCAUUCUGUACAUGAACAGAAGAAUCAUUUUCAUAUUCUCAUUUCACACUAUGACAUUUAUGACUUCACAGCCAAGGAGAGUGACCACUCACACACUGCCAAAAACAAGGACAAAAGGAAACAUGAAUUUUCAUUAAAAAAUGUGUGUGUGCCCGCGUAUGUGUUUAGAAACAAAUUUAGAAAUAUUUGCCAUAAUGUAAACAGCAGUGAAGAAUGUAACCAGGUGCCCUCUGUGCCCAGCCAAAUAAAUCUGCUGCCCACGGGCUUAGGAACUGCAAGAAGGAUAUCUUGAUGACUGGGCAAAUGAUAUGAAAUGUGCCCCUAAGCCAUGUUAAAAAUCAACAAUUGUAGUAAAAUAAUAGACAUUGCCAAAUUCAUUUUGUUUUAUUAUAAGGGCUUUAGCACCUUUGUGCACAGCAGACGUAUUUGCCCCAUUGCCGUAUCCUUGGCCUCAGGCAUUUUUAAUAUUUGUUCUGUCUUGUUUUAAUUUGUUCAUGAUUUCGUCCACUAAAGUGCUUCUUGUUUUCUGUUUUGUUUCAAUGAACUCUACAAAACUUUCCUCACUCAAAACGUUUCCAGUAUCAGAAUGGACCUGCCUGAUAAUCUGGCACAUUUGCCUACAGUGAGAAACAUGUGGAGUACAAUCAAAUGGUAAGGAAUAAUACUUUGCCUUUUUUAUCCUAGAAAUUACCUCAAUACGAAUGUUUUCCUCCAAUAAUUCAAGGAAUUCCUUAUAGAUGUUAUGUGAUCAAUAGUUUACAGUCCUCUUUUUAUGACUUCACUAAUGGCUGUUGACUUCAUUAUCAUAAUGGCUAAUCAAUUCAAUGAGAUUUAGAAAAAUUCCUAUGCUAAGACCGCUGGCAGUUGCUGUAGUGCCUUGAAGAACAAAAUUUUUUUUUUGCACAAAGCAGGUUAAUAUCCAACAUAACCUUCAAAAUAUGUUGCCAUUUCUCUUUGUGUCUGAGUUGCUUUUUGUAGAGAAUCAUCGCUAAGUCCACCAUUUUUAAGCUAUUCCAUUUUAAUUAUGCAUCUCAGUCCAAUGUGUUUCUAUGACCAACAAUUAUAAAAAUGUUAUUCAAAUGCUCCCAAUCACUGAAACGCUUCUAUUUACUGCAAAUAUUUGAAUAGGUUUCAGGUGUGUUUGCCACAAACAAAAACACAAGGCAUGCAAAAUAAUAUCUUAGACCUUUUUCAGAUAUACCAGCUUCUUACAAUCAACUGCUUUGCUGUUAGAAUUUUUUUUGGGGGGGGAAUACUAGAAACACUGUGUUUGAAAGACUUUAAAAGAGGAUGAGACAAAUUCAUGGGGAAUAAAUGGUUACUAACCAUGAAAGCUAUCUUCUCCCUCCACUGUCGGAGGCUGUGUGCUUCCGAAUAUUAAUUGCUGGAAAUCCCAAAUGGGGACAGUAUUGUUGCCCUCAAGUCCUACUUGUGGGCUUUCUAUUAGGAUUUGGUUGGUCACCACCAGAUGCACUAGAUGAGCCUUUGACCUGAUCCAGCAACAGUUGGCUUCUCAUAUUCCACUGCAACUUUCUUGAUAAGUAGAGUUCAGCUAGUUAAUUCUAUGUUUUUAUUUUCCUUUUAGAAAACAAUUCCCCAAAUGUCUCUGGACCCCUAAAGACUGGUGGUGUUUUUGUGGGUUUAUUUUGCUGGGUUGGGGGGGGUACAUUCACAACCUGUUUGCAAGCAUGUCAGAGGCAUCUGGCUGGCUACACUUCUGGACUAGAGGGAUCAUUGGAGUCUUUGGUUUUUGAGUAGAAAUUUGGAUUCUGGCCCAAUUCAGGUUGGGAUUUCCCUGAAAGUCAUCCAUGUGGCUAUCCUCCCCACCCAGUAUUCAGUGAAAAUGAUGAAUGCACAGGGUGAGGUUUUAAUUCAUUUUAAAAGGAAAACAAAAAUUGCAUGGUGAGAAAGCACUGGCUGCAACAGUUGGCUGAGCAAAUGACACAAAAUCCUUUGUGUAAACACUUUUCUUCCCCCAUUUUUCCUCCUCUUUCCUGGUUACUGCUGUAAAUUAGAGCCUGUGUGAAGAAAACAACAUCUGUUGGUCUCCUCAGAUAUGCAACUUGUAGGAAUGGAAAGGGGGAAACACCAAACACCUAUGUUGCUCCUAUUUCUCCUAAGGACUUUUUUCAUUGCUCAAGUUCUUGGAUGCCCUGUGCCCUAUUACUCCAUCCUCCACUCCAUUUUUGACAGCCAUGAAAGUUCUCCUUCACCUCACAGUUGUUUGAGGCCUAGUUAGGGGAGUGGGCUGAGGAGAAGAAGAAGAGGGAGUUUCUAUUUCUGGCAGUUCUCCCAGUCUCCCCUCAUUAUCUGUGGUGCUUAAAGAGCCCCCAAAGCCAUUGCGCUUUUUAUUACUUGUAAAAUGUGGGAUAUAAAAUCUAAAUACCAUUUAAAACAGGAGACUUUACUGACAGGAUAAAAAUUUAUGAGGAGUCACACACAUAAAAUGUGAUGCUAGCUGUAGUGGUGGCACACACACAUUCAGGGUUCUUGACCUCCCUCAGAUAUUAAUUAUCUUCUUUCUCUCCACCCCUUAAACUUGUCAUUUUAGCCAAACUAAUUGCUGGAGAAGGUUGUCGGUCAUAUGGAGAAGGUCAGAUUUGACCCAAAAACAUGAAUGUGUGAUUUGUAGUGCCUAUGAUGUCAAUGGUCAAUGAAUCUGAGCUCAGAAAUUUCUCCUCAGUGACUGUUGCUAUGAAAUGUUCACUAGAUAUUCAAAUAUUUGUCAAAAUAUGAACCAAAUAUGAAAUUUUGGUGUGGCAUUUGAUAUUCAGUUCUGGUAUUUGAUAGUACACUAUUUGAAAAAAAAUUAAUAGUGGUAGUCUUUAUAUAACUAGUAAUAUUCCAGAGCAACAUAAGGCAGGUUCUUCUCCAAGAAGUUCCCAAGCUAAGUUUUGAAAGUGGAGGUGAAGAAGGGAAGAGGCACAUGGAGGAACAUGUGCAAAUACUGUUACAAUCCAGCCUUUGCCAACUUUGGCAUACAGCUUUGGGCUGGCAAGGACUGAUGGGAGUUAUACUCCAAAACAUCUGGAGGGCACCAGGUUAGCAAAGGCUGAAUUUCACAAAUUCAGGCUUUAAACAUGCUCAGGUUAAUUUUCCAUAAAGGUUGAGAAUGAGCUGCAUUUGUUUAUUUCACUUAUACUAUAAAUCUUACGACACUUCUAAACAGCUUUUGUUAUAAAGCAACACUCAAAAUAAUAAAUGGACUUUUCCAGACUGAUAAAAAAGACUGAUAUAACAGCAGUAAAAAAGGCGUAAACAACAUUAAAGGCAGGAAUUAAAAUAAAAGCACAUGGAAAUAAAUUGUUUGUUUAUGCAAUCUCUUAAAUAGGCUUUUUUAUUUCAAAAUGUGCCUCAGCUUCCUUCAGGCAAAACUUGAUAACAACUCUGGGAUGUUGGCAGGUGGCUGUUGCCCUCUUGUUUCGCUUGGGGAAUUACCAGAGUCAUCUGACUGGUCACCUUGGAAACAUAAUGCUGGGCUGGGCCUGAUCCAGCUUCAGGGCUUUUAUUUCAAAUCCCACUACGAACAGCCCUGGUCUUCUCUACACUCUUGGUGCUUCCCUUGAAAUCCCUUGGACAUUCUCACCAAAUUUCGUUUCAUGUUUUUGCUCUAGGCAAAAUUCAGUGUCUUGCUCCAGCACAAUCAAACAAAUAGGCUAAGGGCCGCCAACUGCCUUUUGAAUAAUAUUAGCUUAAAAGAACUGCAUUUUAGGAGGUGGUAAAGUGCAGCUCAAAUUCCCCACUGGGUAAAAAUGUGAACAUCUCAUCUUCAGAAUUGAAAAACAGAAUGAUAAUUGCCUAAAUGCUGCCAAUCUUGGGGGUCUGCUAGCUGAACUUUCGCAUUUCAGUGAGUGCUUGUAUUAUGAAUGUUACUUGGAUGACUGAAAUGUUAAUGCGUUAAAAUGGUUUAUCGGAGAGAGUUAGUAUUAAAGAGCAAACUUAAUUUCAGUAUGAUCAGAGGCUCCAGAGUGGUGUCCCUAAACUCUUUAAAGGCUUUCAUUUAAAAAGUGAUUUAUGAUAUAAAACUUAGUUUUAUGGGUUAUUUUUAAUCUGGCCUUCUUAAGAUGCUUGAAAGUCAACUGUUGCCUUCCAAAAGCAUUGACGUUUACAUUUGCACUGUCAAUAAUCGAAAUUAAAAACAGUAGGAGGAGAUGCAGAACAGAAAAAAUUAUGAGAAUAGUAAUAAUCAUAAUAUAAUAGUAAUAAAGUACAUAGGAUAAUAUUUCAUUUUGUGUGCGCACCUUUUAUAGUUGCUUAUAUUAACAGAAUAUUCCAACAGUAUAAGAGAAAUCAGUUUAGGAUCACAUCUAAUAAAAUGUGUGAUUCUUUUCUCCAUUUACUUUCAACUUCUCCCCUCCCCCCAAAGUGCUGGUGCAACACUAGGAUAUCUGAACCAUAUUAAGAUAUGAUAGUGUUUAUCUGAGCAUUUUUAAAAAAGAAAGAAAAUAAAUGAAAAGCAGUAAGAGGUGCACAUAUGAAGAAAAACCAUAGUUCCAACAACAUAAAAGUGCUAGUAUCAAGCUACUCUUAGAAAUAGUAACAGGGAUCUGGAGUGUGAAUGCUGCUUGAAACACAAAGAUGCACAUGUCUUCAAAACUAUCUCUGGAUUGUUUUCACUGUCCAUAUUCCUGUUACAAUGAGACCCCUUUCACCUUGAGGAUCGUCUGCCUUGAAGCAGCAUCACCUCUGACUGCACUUGAGAGUCCAGCCUGAGGCUUCAAGCUGUCACAAUGAGGCAGGGUUAAGGCGGCGAUGUUCUAGAGAAGUCAGUCCACUGACAGGCAGUUGUGGCCUUGCAGACGCAUCAUAUCAGUACUGGAGCUGCUUGACAGAUGAGUCCUGUGGUGGUGGCGGCUGACUGUUGGCAAAUGGGUGACAGAUGGACUUGUCAGUGUCAAGGUGUCACCUGCGUCUUGUGAGGGAUAUAUGUGGCUGCCAGGCUAGGAAAACAAGCAGGUAUCCCCACAUCCUACAGACAACAACACGCAGAGGUGUCUAUCCCUGACAAAUCAAGAGGAGGAGGUAGAGGUGGAGGAUCAUUUUAUACAGAGGAAAUCAUUUUCCAUUGUGCUAGCAGCUAGUUUAUAAUCCAGUAGAAAGAUAGAUUAUGAAUCCAGCAGAGGCCAGCUAUCAGCUCUGUUCUAGCACCGGACAUCAUCAGACUGGACAUCAUCAUUUGGGAAGAGUAAUGGAGGAAGAUUAUACUAUGGUCAGUCACCACAGAGGGAGAAAUAUCUCUCUCAGUACUGGAACUCAGGCUCACCCAAUGAAACUGACCAGCAGUGGGCUAAUUCAGGACCAAGGAAAUACAUCACACAAUGCGUAAUUGGUUUAUGGGGUUCACUGCCACAAGAUGUGGUGCUGGUGGUGGCCAUUAGUUCUGGUGACUUUAAAAAAGGACUGGAGAAAUUCAUGGAGCAGAAUAGGUCUGUCAGCAUCCCAGACAGACCCUCUGUUUGUGACCC
rnacentral:lncRNA from 1 species